rnacentral:rRNA from 1 species
AGUCGAGGGGCAGCGCAGUGUAGCAAUACAUGGGCGGCGACCGGCAAACGGGUGCGGAACACGUACGCAACCUUCCUUCAAGCGGGGCAUAGCUUUCGGAAACGAAAAUUAAUACCCCAUAGAAUUAUCUGAGGGCAUCUGAGGAUAAUUAAAGAUUUAUCACUUGAAGAUGGGCGUGCGCCUGAUUAGGUAGUUGGCGGGGUAACGGCCCACCAAGCCUACGAUCAGUAACUGGUGUGAGAGCACGACCAGUCACACGGGCACUGAGACACGGGCCCGACUCCUACGGGAGGCAGCAGUAAGGAAUAUUGGUCAAUGGACGCAAGUCUGAACCAGCCAUGCCGCGUGGAGGAUGAAGGUCCUCUGGAUUGUAAACUUCUUUUAUCGGAGAAGAAACCCCCGAGUUCUCUUGGGGUUGACGGUACCCGAUGAAUAAGCACCGGCUAACUCCGUGCCAGCAGCCGCGGUAAUACGGAGGGUGCAAGCGUUAUCCGGAUUCACUGGGUUUAAAGGGAGCGUAGGUGGGCUGGUAAGUCAGUGGUGAAAUCUCCGGGCUUAACUCGGAAACUGCCGUUGAUACUAUCAGUCUUGAAUGUUGAGGAGGUAAGCGGAAUAUGUCAUGUAGCGGUGAAAUGCUUAGAUAUGACAUAGAACACCGAUAGCGAAGGCAGCUUGCUACACAAUUAUUGACACUGAGGCUCGAAAGCGUGGGGAUCAAACAGGAUUAGAUACCCUGGUAGUCCACGCCCUAAACGAUGGAUACUCGACAUACGCGAUACACAGUGUGUGUCUGAGCGAAAGCAUUAAGUAUCCCACCUGGGAAGUACGACCGCAAGGUUGAAACUCAAA